GGCUAACAAAUCCUUCACGUCUGGAUCUCAUCAAAUGAAGAGACCGUCGAUGAUUCCGGAUAUGCAUCGAUGCCAGGUUAUUGAAUGGAUCUAAUGAUUCCGGAUAUGCAUCAAUGCCAGCUGGUUGUUGAAUGAAUCUGGGUUUCACUCGAUGGGGUCAAAAGCUACCUGCUUUGGAGUGCCCAGAUGUAGAAUCUGCUGCGUCUAUAUCGCUUUCUAGAUAUUAUGAACCCUUAUCAAGUUAUCCGGAAGAAAAAAAAUCGCUAAUGAGUAUGAACUAUGGAUGCAGAAGAACAGGAUGGUUCAUGAGUGGAUGCAGUCUGUAGUAGGAGCAAAAAUUUUCUCUCCAGUCAUGAAUCAUGCCACAACGGUAGCCUAUUGGGCAACGCUUGAAACACAUCUUUCCCUCCGCAAGGAAGACGAUUCACUCUAUUACUUCAGGGAACAACUUCGUGAAUUGAAGAAUUUGUAAACAUAGUCAAAGCCCUCACCGAUAGCUUCUCCGCAACCGACGAGAAACUCAUUGAUCAUGAUAAGAUUGAUUUCGUGACAGUUGGAUUAAAACCAGAGUAUCGUCCAUUUUUAUCUUCUUUGUACAGUCAACCAAUAUGAUUUUUGAUAAAAAGAAAAAUUCUUCCAGCUGACCGGUAUAU
rnacentral:lncRNA from 1 species